GGUGCAGUGGCUAAGACUGGAUAGGAAGAAAUAAGGCAUCUUAUAUCUUUUAACAGACCUAGUAAUAGGUAUACUUUAGGAGGGGCUUGCGCCAUAUUACUUAGUUGGUAGGGUAAUGGCCUACCAAGACGAUGAUGUGUAGCUGGACUGAGAGGUUGAACAGCCACAUUGGGACUGAGACACGGCCCAAACUCCUACGGGAGGCAGCAGUAGGGAAUUUUCGGCAAUGGAGGAAACUCUGACCGAGCAACGCCGCGUGAACGACGAAGUACUUUGGUAUGUAAAGUUCUUUUAUCAAGGAAGAAAAGCAAAUGGCGAACCAUUUGUUUGCCGGUACUUGAUGAAUAAGCCCCGGCUAAUUAUGUGCCAGCAGCCGCGGUAAGACAUAAGGGGCAAGUGUUAUCCGGAAUUAUUGGGCGUAAAGGGUGCGUAGGCGGUCUAGUAAGUCAGUGGUGUAAUGGCAACGCUCAACGUUGUCCGGCUAUUGAAACUGCUAAACUUGAGUUAGAUAGAGGCGAGUGGAAUUCCAUGUGUAGCGGUAAAAUGCGUAAAUAUAUGGAGGAACACCAGAGGCGUAGGCGGCUCGCUGGGUCUUAACUGACGCUGAGGCACGAAAGCGUGGGGAGCAAACAGGAUUAGAUACCCUGGUAGUCCACGCCGUAAACGAUGAGUACUAAGUGUCGGGUUAAACCGGUACUGAAGUUAACACAUUAAGUACUCCGCCUGAGUAGUACGUACGCAAGUAUGAAACUUAAAGGAAUUGACGGGACUCCGCACAAGCGGUGGAUCAUGUUGUUUAAUUCGAAGAUACCCGAAAAACCUUACCAGGUCUUGACAUGUUUUUGCAAAAUGAUAGUAAUAUCGUGGAGGUUACCAGAAACACAGGUGGUGCAUGGUUGUCGUCAGCUCGUGUCGUGAGAUGUUAGGUUAAGUCCUAAAACGAGCGAAACCCUUAUCGUUAGUUGCCAGCACGUUAUGGUGGGGACUUUAACGAGACUGCCAAUGAUAAACUGGAGGAAGGUGAGGAUCACGUCAAAUCAGCAUGCCCCUUAUGACCUGGGCUACAAACGUGAUACAAUGGCUGUUACAAAGGGUAGCUGAAACGCAAGUUCUUGGCCAAUCCCCAAAAACAGUCCCAGUCCGGAUUGAAGUCUGCAACUCGACUUCAUGAAGUUGGAAUCGCUAGCAAUCGCGAAUCAGCAUGUCGCGGUGAAUACGUUCUCGGGGUUAGCACG
rnacentral:rRNA from 1 species